rnacentral:rRNA from 1 species
UUAAGCGACUAAGCGUACACGGUGGAUGCCCUGGCAGUCAGAGGCGAUGAAGGACGUGCUAAUCUGCGAAAAGCGUCGGUAAGGUGAUAUGAACCGUUAUAACCGGCGAUGUCCGAAUGGGGAAACCCAGUGCAAUUCGUUGCACUAUCGUUAACUGAAUACAUAGGUUAACGAGGCGAACCGGGGGAACUGAAACAUCUAAGUACCCCGAGGAAAAGAAAUCAACCGAGAUUCCCCCAGUAGCGGCGAGCGAACGGGGAGCAGCCCAGAGUCUGAAUCAGCUUGUGUGUUAGUGGAACGGUCUGGAAAGUCCGACGGUACAGGGUGAUAGUCCCGUACACCAAAAUGCACAGGUUGUGAACUCGAAGAGUAGGGCGGGACACGUGGUAUCCUGUCUGAAUAUGGGGGGACCAUCCUCCAAGGCUAAAUACUCCUGACUGACCGAUAGUGAACCAGUACCGUGAGGGAAAGGCGAAAAGAACCCCGGCGAGGGGAGUGAAAAAGAACCUGAAACCGUGUACGUACAAGCAGUGGGAGCACCUUCGGGUGUGACUGCGUACCUUUUGUAUAAUGGGUCAGCGACUUAUAUUCUGUAGCAAGGUUAACCGUAUAGGGGAGCCGCAGGGAAACCGAGUCUUAACUGGGCGUUAAGUUGCAGGGUAUAGACCCGAAACCCGGUGAUCUAGCCAUGGGCAGGUUGAAGGUUGGGUAACACUAACUGGAGGACCGAACCGACUAAUGUUGAAAAAUUAGCGGAUGACUUGUGGCUGGGGGUGAAAGGCCAAUCAAACCGGGAGAUAGCUGGUUCUCCCCGAAAGCUAUUUAGGUAGCGCCUCGUGAACUCAUCUUCGGGGGUAGAGCACUGUUUCGGCUAGGGGGUCAUCCCGACUUACCAACCCGAUGCAAACUACGAAUACCGAAGAAUGUUAUCACGGGAGACACACGGCGGGUGCUAACGUCCGUCGUGAAGAGGGAAACAACCCAGACCGCCAGCUAAGGUCCCAAAGUCAUGGUUAAGUGGGAAACGAUGUGGGAAGGCACAGACAGCCAGGAUGUUGGCUUAGAAGCAGCCAUCAUUUAAAGAAAGCGUAAUAGCUCACUGGUCGAGUCGGCCUGCGCGGAAGAUGUAACGGGGCUAAACCAUGCACCGAAGCUGCGGCAGCGACACUAUGUGUUGUUGGGUAGGGGAGCGUUCUGUAAGCCUGCGAAGGUGUGCUGUGAGGCAUGCUGGAGGUAUCAGAAGUGCGAAUGCUGACAUAAGUAACGAUAAAGCGGGUGAAAAGCCCGCUCGCCGGAAGACCAAGGGUUCCUGUCCAACGUUAAUCGGGGCAGGGUGAGUCGACCCCUAAGGCGAGGCCGAAAGGCGUAGUCGAUGGGAAACAGGUUAAUAUUCCUGUACUUGGUGUUACUGCGAAGGGGGGACGGAGAAGGCUAUGUUAGCCGGGCGACGGUUGUCCCGGUUUAAGCAUGUAGGCUGGUUGUCCAGGCAAAUCCGGAUAAUCAAGGCUGAGGUGUGAUGACGAGGCACUACGGUGCUGAAGUAACAAAUGCCCUGCUUCCAGGAAAAGCCUCUAAGCAUCAGGUAACAUCAAAUCGUACCCCAAACCGACACAGGUGGUCAGGUAGAGAAUACCAAGGCGCUUGAGAGAACUCGGGUGAAGGAACUAGGCAAAAUGGUGCCGUAACUUCGGGAGAAGGCACGCUGGUGUGUAGGUGAAGUCCCUGCGGAUGGAGCUGAGACCAGUCGAAGAUACCAGCUGGCUGCAACUGUUUAUUAAAAACACAGCACUGUGCAAACACGAAAGUGGACGUAUACGGUGUGACGCCUGCCCGGUGCCGGAAGGUUAAUUGAUGGGGUUAUCCGUAAGGAGAAGCUCUUGAUCGAAGCCCCGGUAAACGGCGGCCGUAACUAUAACGGUCCUAAGGUAGCGAAAUUCCUUGUCGGGUAAGUUCCGACCUGCACGAAUGGCGUAAUGAUGGCCAGGCUGUCUCCACCCGAGACUCAGUGAAAUUGAACUCGCUGUGAAGAUGCAGUGUACCCGCGGCAAGACGGAAAGACCCCGUGAACCUUUACUAUAGCUUGACACUGAACAUUGAGCCUUGAUGUGUAGGAUAGGUGGGAGGCUUUGAAGCGUGGACGCCAGUCUGCGUGGAGCCAACCUUGAAAUACCACCCUUUAAUGUUUGAUGUUCUAACGUUGGCCCCUGACCGGGGUUGCGGACAGUGUCUGGUGGGUAGUUUGACUGGGGCGGUCUCCUCCCAAAGCGUAACGGAGGAGCACGAAGGUUAGCUAAUCCUGGUCGGACAUCAGGAGGUUAGUGCAAUGGCAUAAGCUAGCUUGACUGCGAGCGUGACGGCGCGAGCAGGUGCGAAAGCAGGUCAUAGUGAUCCGGUGGUUCUGAAUGGAAGGGCCAUCGCUCAACGGAUAAAAGGUACUCCGGGGAUAACAGGCUGAUACCGCCCAAGAGUUCAUAUCGACGGCGGUGUUUGGCACCUCGAUGUCGGCUCAUCACAUCCUGGGGCUGAAGUAGGUCCCAAGGGUAUGGCUGUUCGCCAUUUAAAGUGGUACGCGAGCUGGGUUUAGAACGUCGUGAGACAGUUCGGUCCCUAUCUGCCGUGGGCGCUGGAGAAUUGAGGGGGGCUGCUCCUAGUACGAGAGGACCGGAGUGGACGCAUCACUGGUGUUCGGGUUGUCAUGCCAAUGGCACUGCCCGGUAGCUAAAUGCGGAAGAGAUAAGUGCUGAAAGCAUCUAAGCACGAAACUUGCCCCGAGAUGAGUUCUCCCUGAGACUUUAAGUCUCCUGAAGGAACGUUAAAGACGAUGACGUUGAUAGGCCGGGUGUGUAAGCGCAGCGAUGCGUUGAGCUAACCGGUACUAAUGAACCGUGAGGCUUAACCUUACAACGCCGAAG